rnacentral:lncRNA from 1 species
UGACAAGGUUCUAGCUGCAAAAGAACUAGAGGAGCUUCCGAGAUCCGUUUCGCGAUAGAUUAUGGAUAGUGGAGCUUCUCGGCACAUGACAGGGAAGAAAACCCUGUGGUACGAUGUUAGGGGGUUUAAUGGAGGUUACGUGGGAUUCGCAGGAAAUCAAGGAGAUCUGUGAUAGGAUGUAUACAACGCACUUCACAGACAAAAAGUGUUUGAUCUUGAAACCAGGAUUUGUUGUUCCCGAAGAAUGGAUUAUCAUGAGAGCACCAAGAGUCAAUGAUCUGUACGUGUUGGACAUGAGCGUAGCAACUACAACCACGGGUCAGGCUCAUUGUUUCAUGUAUAGAGCAAUAGAGAAAGAAUCACAGUUGUGGCACCGGAAAAUGGGUCAUAUACAUUUGAGAAAGAUGAAUCACCUGGUGCACAAUGAUUUGGUUACUGGUGUUCAUGUGAAAGGUUUUCAUCUUGAGGGGGAGUGCAUUAGCUGCAUCAAAGGAAAGCAAAAGAAGAAAUCUCACCCCGGGAAGAAAGAAAAUUCAAUCU